GACGAACGCUGGCGGCGUGCUUAACACGUGCAAGUCGAACGGAAAGGCCCUGCUUUUGUGGGGUGCUCGAGUGGCGAAAGGGUGAGUAACACGUGAGUAACCUGCCCUUGACUUUGGGAUAACUUCAGGAAACUGGGGCUAAUACCGGAUAGGAGCUCCUGCUGCAUGGUGGGGGUUGGAAAGUUUCGGCGGUUGGGGAUGGACUCGCGGCUUAUCAGCUUGUUGGUGGGGUAGUGGCUUACCAAGGCUUUGACGGGUAGCCGGCCUGAGAGGGUGACCGGCAAAAUUGGGACUGAGAUACGGCCCAGACUCCUACGGGAGGCAGCAGUGGGGAAUAUUGAACAAUGGGCGGAAGCCUGAUGCAGCAACGCCGCGUGCGGGAUGACGGCCUUCGGGUUGUAAACCGCUUUCGCCUGUGACGAAGCGUGAGUGACGGUAAUGGGUGAAGAAGCACCGGCUAACUACGUG
rnacentral:rRNA from 1 species